CACGCAGGGGGCAAGCGUUGUCCGGAUUUAUUGGGCGUAAAGAGCUCGUAGGCUGUUCGGUAAGUCGGGUGUGAAACCCCCAGGCUCAACCUGGGGACGCCACCUGAUACUGCUGUGACUCGAGUCCGGUAGGGGAGCGUGGAAUUCCUGGUGUAGCGGUGAAAUGCGCAGAUAUCAGGAGGAACACCAGCGGCGAAGGCGGCGCUCUGGGCCGGUACUGACGCUGAGGAGCGAAAGCGUGGGUAGCAAACAGG
rnacentral:rRNA from 1 species